rnacentral:rRNA from 1 species
AUGUCUGCAACAACUAUGUAUCUCUGUUCCUGGAAUGUAAGAGGGCUGGGUGAUGUUGAAAAAUGCAAGGAUAUCCUCGCUGAACUUCUAUCAGUCAAGCCAAACGUACUACUUUUACAAGAAACCAAACUCGAAGCGCCCGCGGUCUCAAAAGUUCGUUCCUUCCUACCCUCCUCCCUCGACUACUUCUCCGUCCUGCCUACCAUUGGCACGGCUGGUGGACUGCUCUCGGCAGCAAACUCUAACACGAUCCAAGUGACCCAGUGCGUUAACUACUCCUUCUGCUCUACGCUUACAUGUCUUCUUCCCUCGCUCCCCUCCGCCUUCUACAUUACAAACGUCUAUGGCCCGACAAGCCGUUCCCAGAAGCAAGCCUUCCUCGAUGAACUUUUGGCCAUUGCCCCCAGCGAGAGCACCCCGUGGAUAAUCGUAGGCGAUUUUAAUCUAAUACGCUUCCCCCACGAAAAGAAUAACUUGAAUUUCCAUCAGCGUGAGGCUGACAUGUUUAAUGACGCCAUCAACGAGCUAGCUCUCCUCGAACUCCCCCUGCUGGACCGCCAAUUCACCUGGUCCAACAACAGGGAGGCGCCGGUCCUUGAACGCCUCGACAGAGCCUUCUUCAACCUUGCUUGGAAUACCACCUUCCCAAACACUUCCCUCUCCUCGCUAGCACGAAUCACUUCGGAUCAUGUCCCGCUAAUCAUCUCCAUUUCCACCACGGUACCCCGCUCCCGCCUCUUUCAUUUUGAACGAAGCUGGGCCUAUGCUCCGGCAUGCAAACGGCUAGUGGCCCAAGUCUGA